GACGAACGCUGGCGGCGUGCCUAAUACAUGCAAGUCGACCUUAGUGGCGAACGGGUGUGUAACACGUGGGUAACCUGCCCAUCAGAAGGGGAUAACACUUGGAAACAGGUGCUAAUACCGUAUACUGAUGGAUGGACCCGCGGUGCAUUAGCUAGUUGGUGAGGUAACGGCUCACCAAGGCCACGAUGCAUAGCGGACCUGAGAGGGUGAUCGGCCACACUGGGACGGAGACACGGCCCAGACUCCUACGGGAGGCAGCAGUGGGGAAUAGUGGGCAAUGGACGAAAGCCUGACCGAGCAAUGCCGCGUGAAUGAAGAAGGUUUUCGGAUCGUAAAGCUCUGUUGGUAGAGAGGCGGUAACUAAACAGAAAGCAACGGCUAACUACGUGCCAGCAGCCGCGGUAAUUC
rnacentral:rRNA from 1 species